rnacentral:lncRNA from 1 species
UUACUAAUAAGUAUAACUACCAAUUGGAGGCAUUUCAGUGUAAUUGAUCUGAACACUUUGAAAUGGUCUCAGUGCUGGAUUUCUUCCACCAAGGCGCAAUUUCCUUAGAUCCUGCUUAUUAGCUUUUUUUACAUGUUAAGCAACUAUCUAUAACUUGUUUGGCCAGGGUGUAAAUUCUUAUACACCCAUAAACCCGGAGAACUGCAUUGCACAUUGCUUGGGGUCCCCAAUGGGUCCCUUGAUGUAAUUGAGACAAGACUUCCCUCAUGAGAGGUUUUGACAACAUUUCCCUUUGAUCUGAUAAUAUCCAUUUCCUAUCCGCAUUUUCUUUAGCUCCUAUUUUUAUCAACGUCUUUUGUUCAAUGGAAGAGAAAACGGGUUACAGUAGGAGGAGGGCAUGGAGUUAAAUGGAAGAAAUGGCAACUUGUUUUGCUAUUUUAUUGUAACCGACUGAGUUAUAGAGAGAAUGCCACAGUCUGAGACUAAUUCAGUGAUCCUUUAUUGCCAGCAACCGAGAGACGGCUAGAGCUCAAAAUUCUCUCAGCCCCGAAGAAGGGGCUACACAUCUUUUUACACCUUGGUCUAAAGAGGGGAGGAGGAGUGUAGCUGAAGCAAUUUUUUACAGAAGCAGAACAGGCAAAAAAGUUGAAAGAUAAAUGGUUACAGAAACAGUAAUAAGAAAAUAAACAGUUCCAGGUGCAGGGGCUUAAAUUAUCACAAAGUGAUAAACGCAAAGGCUUUGGGCACCGUCAACCGAGUGCGUUCCCAGGAGCUGCUGGUACAGCUUGCCUCAGUAUCUUAUCAGUAAGCGCAUUCUUGGAUGUGCUUGGAGUCAGCUUGCACCAGUUAUGUCCUUAAGGGAGGGGGACAAGGGGCUGCAAGUGAAGAAACCAAAAUGGAGUCUGUCCAGCUCUCUCAGCUAAGAGAGAGUCAAUCAGGUUAAAAGAAGUUAGGGUAUCACAUUUCCCACUCGUGUUUGGGGGAAUCAGAUCAUUGAUUCCUCGGUUAUAACAAGGGUGUUAUAUUGGGUUCUAAGAUACAUAAGAUUGACAGAAGCUAUGCGUUGCUUUACAAAAUUAAGAAACCAAUUUAAUAUACAAGGCCUGAAGACUAACCCUAACAAGAGGAGGAGAAGGGGGUCCCGCCAACCCAGUAAUUAGAGUAGUUAGCCAGGGAUUCCAGUUAAACAUGCUUUGGUACUUUGGUACUCCAGGAAUGAGAAAGGUGGUGUUACUUUCUUGUUCCUUCUGGCAUCUAUCUAGAUUUUCUCGAACUCUUUGAAGAGUAUUUUUUAUGACUCCAGACUGAUUGGCAUAGAAACAACAACUUUCUUCUAGAGCUGUGCAUAAACCUCCUUGGGAGAUAAAUAGCAGAUCUAAGCCUCGGCGGUUUUGAAGAACUACUUCAGCUAGAGACUCUACCUGGGCAUGUAGUAUAUUUAUGGCUGAUUGGAGAUUGCUUAAAUCAGCAUCUACCUGUUGAGAUAGUGAUAUUAGUCCAGUUUCUCCUUGAAUCAGGGCAGUCGUGCCAAUAGCUGCUGACGUAGCUAUGCUAAGGCCAGCUAGAAGGGGUACAAGGAGUAGGGCAGCUCGGUGAAACCUGAAAUGCAAUUCAGGGGGAGCAAUGAGAAGUUGUCCUUCUGGCCCACUGUACAUGUAGAUCUGGGGGAGUACAUGAAUCAACAUGCAUAGGAGAGGUCCAGGUUCAGUCCCAUUGAUGCAGCGAGUGAGGCCUGAAAUGCAGGCCAACCAGGUAUUUUUGGGUGCCUGGUAGGAGACUGAGGGGUUUAAGGAAGUAAGGAGAGACUCACUACAAGUAGCCUGAAAGGGAGAAGCAGGUAAGUUAUACCUUGCGCUAAUUAGACAGAAGGCAUUCCCUGACACAUCUCCUAGUGUAAGGGCAUGGGGGCACGUAUGACAAGAAAGAGAGUCCAUUUUGAGCAUGGCUUCUACUCCUAAUCCAACAUAAUAUGGGGGUUUGGCCUUUCGGCACAACCAGCAAUCUCAGGCUAGUUUAGGCUUGGUGAGAUUAAGGAGGUGAUGUAUCCCGUCCAAAAUGGACAUCGGGCUGGGUUGGAGGUAUUGUCAUUGCAGCUGGGGUCUCAGAACCAGGAAUGGCAGUGGGACAGUUAAAUCGACUCUCUCUGGGUGUUUUUGGAACAUAGGGUCACCUAAAUCAGUUAAAGUUCUGAUUGGCUUCAUGGGACCAGGAAUUUUUUCUGGAUGGUGAACAUAGUUCCAACAUCAAAUCCUGAAAUAUAAAGCCUUAAUCCCUAUGACAUGCUGUAAUACCAUUGAGUUAAACUAGGGUUACGGAGAGUUAUAGUAAGAGGAUUACAAUUUCCUAUAGUACACGGCUUAGGAUGGGAAGCACAAGCUAUGGAAAGGGUUGAGGAUCAGGUUCAUCCUCCAGAGUAAGUGGCCAAGGUUACACACAUGCAGUAAGGGCAGAAAAACUGGUAAGAAUCUCGACAACUAGAGUCAGGGCGAUUUCCAGGACAAAGGUAAAAGUCAACGCUCUGGAGCCUUUUUUCUGCACCCUUAGAACUUCCACAUCCAGUUUGGCUUCUGGUGUGUCCGAACCCUGCAGCAAGGUCAGCGUUCCCUGCUCUCAUGAUCGGCAGAUUGCAUUGCUCUUCAAGGGUAUGGGCAGGGUCGGGGAACAAAGCACAUAAACCGACUACAAAAGAGACUUCCUUGGAGGGUCCCACCUUCCAAGUGGUGUUUGCAAACACACAUCCUGUCAUGAAGGAAGUGAGGAGAAAAGAGUAGGAAGGGGCAGAGGACAUAACAGGUGGAAACAGACAGAAGAGGUAAAUAAAAAGAAUUAAUUCGAUAGCUUUACUCAACUUAGGCGCAGUUUUAAGGGGCCUGGCCUAGGCUUGGGGACCCAUUUUUUUUGCUGGGCUUUGUUGGCCUUUUUGAUGCGAGAAUGAUGAAUCCAAGCAGGAGUGCCGUCCACCUUCAGAGCUGUUGGUGUGGUGAGGAUGACAGUAUGAGGUCCUUUCCAGGCAGGAGUCAGUCCUUUUUUCUGGAACUUUUUAACAUACACUAGGUCACCCAGCUGGAAAGAGUGGCAGGGCCCAGUCUGGUCAGGAACUGGGCUGGGGUGUGCUCCCCUGACAAGCAGCUGGAUGAUGUCUUGUACCCGUUGGAGAGACUGCAGGUACUGUAACAAGUUAGCUUGUGAGAUUUCUGCUAAAUGGGUAUCCUUUAGCUUAGGCAAGAUAGGCGGAGCCCUUCCAUACAUGAUUUCAAAAGGUGAAAACCCAGCCUGGUAAGGGGUGCAUCUUACUCUAAGAAGGGCUAAAGGAAGGAGCUUUACCUAGUUUUCACUGGUUUCUAGGAUUAAUUUUGCAAGAGUACUUUUUAGGAUGGGGUUCAUGCAUUCUACUUGUCCAGAGCUCUGGGGUCGAUAGGCACAAUGGAGUUUCCAUUGAAUGUUUAAUGCCUUGCUGACCGACUGAGCUAUGGACGAGGUGAAGGCUGGUCCAUUAUCAGACCUUAUUACAACAGGCAGUCCAUGUUGAGGGAUGAUUUCAUUGAGUAAAAGCUUAACUACCGUGGUAGCAGUUUCGUUUUUGGUGGCAAAUGCCUCAGUCCAUCCAGAAAAGGUGUCUACUAGCACCAGGAGGUAUUUAUACCCUGCCAAGUGUGGUUUUACCUCUGUAAAGUCAAUUUCCCACCUUCCUCCUGGCAAGCCUCCCUGGAGGCGGUGGCCUGGGCUGGGCUUAGGACCUUGCUUGGUGUUUACUUGGGCACAAGCCGUUUACUGGAGAGCUGCUUGGUUAGUUAAGUCCUGAAGGUGGGGGAUCUUGAAAUGGCUCCUUAGAAGCUGGGCCAGUUUUACUCCUCCUAAAUGGGUGGUAGAAUGUAGAUGAUUGAUAAAAGUUUCCCCAAGGGCUUGGGGCAUGAAGAUUCUGGAAUCAGGAAGAAUUCACCAACCUUCCUGAUUUUUACUGGCUUGAAGAUCCGAAGCUUGUUUUUCUUCCUCUGGGGAGUAUUCUGGGUAGUCUGCCCAGUCAGUUGUGGAAAGGACACAGAGGGCAGCAGGGUUAAAGGCACGACCAGGAGCUGAGCUGCCUCUCAAGCUGCAGAGUCUGCUCUUUGGUUACCACGAGCAAUGGCCAUGUCUUCUCUUUGAUGUCCUUUGCAGUGAAUUGCAGCCACCUGUUGAGGGAGCCAAACAGCUUCAAGCAGGGCUAAAAUUUCUUCUUUGUUGUUGACACUCUUUCCUGCUGAGGUAGGAAAUGCUGGGAAGAAAAAGCUGGGCCUUCUUGGCUGGGACCUGAUACCCGAAUUCCUGAAGGAGUCCUGUACAGGCUGGUAAUCAUUUGUUCCGGGUUUCUGGACCGGCAAAAAUGGAAUAUUCCAGGCGAUCUCACAUGGUGUGAGUAUACCAGCUUGUAAUAGUUGCUGAAUAUGAGGAUUAAUUCCCUCUAUAGCCCACAGAAUCAUAGGAUAUUGUUUGACCUGGACCGGCAGGGUGGUGGCCAGGAGUUCUACAACAGCUGGCAGAUGGUGGUUUGCCAGUCCUGGGAGGUAUGAGGAAACAGAGUCUGUAAAGCCAGUAGGAGAGGAUUACUUUUAUUCUCCGGCAGUUGUGAGGGUGAAACUAAGAGAUAUUCCUCUGACCGAAGGGUGGUUAGCAGGAGCUGAGCAGUAGGGGGCAUUGUGUCCCCUAACAUGAGGUGAGUUUGUUGGGCCGAGAAGGAGAUGGACGCCUGUAGCUUAUGAAGCAGGUCUCAUCCGAGGAGGGAGAAGGGGCACUCUGGGACCACGAGGAACAAGUGGGUUACUCUUUUCUGUCCUAAACUCACCUCUCGUGAGUGGGUGACAGGAUAUUCCUGAAUAGCUCCAGUAGCCCUUUACUCAGCAACCUUUUUAUUAGACACUGCCUAAGGGUGUCUGGAGUACUGAGUGUUCCACCCCGGUGUCAAUUAGGAAGCGUACAGGCUGGCCCCCCACUGUGGUGGUCACCAUGGGUUCCCGGGGCCAAGUGACAAAGAGCCCUGGCCCCGUCAAUCAUCAGAUUCCUCUGCUGCGGGGCAGGGUGAGGACCUUUUUCUUUUCUGGUUUCUCCUCUGGCUUUAAUGGGCAUUCCUUUCUCCAGUGUCCAAUCUGCUUGCAAGAAGCACAUUGGUUUCUUUAUAGGGGAGUCCUCUCACGUUUCUGGCCUUCCUGGUGGGGACUCGGGGUCCCCUGGUCAGUGCUCUGUGAUGGGGGCCCUUCCUUUUUGGCUUCUUGGAUGGCAGCCACUAAGCUUUUUGCCUGUCUUUUUGAUGCUUUGUCUGCAGCCCUUUCAGCUGCCUGAGCUACCUGUUUUUGCUUUUCAAAUUCUCGAUUGUCGAAAACUCUCUGGGCUAUCUCUAAAAGCUGGCUGAUGUAAGGAAAUACUUUCUGGCUUCUCUUCAGAUAUGGUCCCUCUCUUCAGAGGUGAAAAGGGAUGAAAGGAGUUGCUGACACUCAUCCCAGGUGGGCCGGUGAGUCUGGAGCACAGACUCCAUCAGUGAGGUUAAGACCUGGGGCUUUUCAGAAAAGGGGGGAUUAUGAGCCUUCCAGUUGUACAGGUCAGAAGUAGAGAAGGGGACAUAAACUAAAAAUGGAGCACAACGCCCACUGCCCAAAGGGAUUUGGGCCUCUGUCAGUGGGAGGAGCGGGGCCACCUCCUCCGGCUGAGGCCAUAAUUGGGAGGAUAUAGGCAGAGAGGCCACAGAGGAUGUAGUUGAGGAGACAAGGGAAGAUUCUGGGGGAGGAGGAGGGUUAUAGGGUGGUGGAAAUGGGUGAAGAAAACUUUCCUCUUCUUCAGAAGGAGGCAGUACAGGAGGAAUCGAGGGAGCUGAGGGUGGAGGCAAAAGUGAGGUCUGGCUAAAAAGGACCUUGGAGGUAGGAUCACGAAUGGCUACAGAGUUUUAUCACGAGUGGAGCCAUGAAGGAGAGCUCUGGACUAAAUCUAGCCAUUGAUCAAUGUAGGGAAACUGAUCGGGGUGACCGGGAGUUCCAACAACGACCCACCACACAGCCUGAACAGCUGUGAAGUGUAGUGACCCGUCUGGGGGCCACCCAGUUCCAAACUUUGGCCAUUCUACUUCGCAGAGUGUCCAGAGUUUGCCUUUUUUAAGGCGGACCCCGUAAUCAUCUGAGAAGCCUAGAGAGAAAUUCUGCAACAUACACUGGAGAGGACUCCAAUCUUUAUGGGGCCGGGAAGAAGAGUUUACUAUUCUGGAGGCAAUUAACAAGGUUUGAACAAAAAUAUUAAACCCAGCAUGGACAAAGAUAUUCACGGCCUGGGAGGCUAUGGUAUCAGAAGAACAGAAGUAUUAUAGCUAGAAGAAGUAGGAAAACAACUAUAGCCAAUAUUUCUUGCCACAUAAGGUCUGUCUCCUCAAGCUUCGAGAUCUAUGGAGAGGAUAAGAGGUGGGUCCAAGGGAUCCUCAGCCAGUGGGACUUAGGUGACCCCCCCUUCUUGACUUAUAUCCCAAAUAACUUUGGUGUCUCCACGACUCGAAAGCAAAAUGUUCAAACUCGGUCCUUUCCUUCACGGGUUUAAGGAGGGAGAACACAGCCAAGUCUUAGAGACGCUGGACUUGCUGCAACACAGGAAAAUGAGAUGUGCAGGGUAAGGGAUGGGGAUGAGGAGGAAAGGGGCCACUUGGAUUUCCCUAAAGGUUGGAGAGUAGCCAAAAGAGGUAAAAUAAGAGUCCAGACAGAGUAGAGCAGUAUGGGUGUAGGUUUCUCUGCACAGUGCCUUAUUUAAGGGCAUGGGAAAAGUUAUGGGAUGACAGAAAAGGUGAGUAAGGAGGUCAGCAGGGUGGCUAUUUUGGAUCCACCACUGGUCUAAGGAGAAGGUGGACCAGUCGUUGGGGCGUGGGGUAUGGCAAUCCAAACGCCAGCAAUCUUUAUGGUGCCAGAAAUCCUAAACGGGUGAAUGUCUUCCACACCCUUCCCCAUAACAACACCUAAUUUGUUUCUGACAGGAAAGGCAGGACUGGGAUGGCCAGCCCAACCGACUAAUGAGGAAUUUGACCUCCUGGGAUAGAAAAUCUGUACUAAGGACCUUGAAGAAGUCCUUGCCCAGUCAUUUUGGGCAGUAUCGACGAUCCGACAUAUGAAAUUUAGACAGACACUAAACAGGACAAUAGGCACUGGGGUAUAUAAACAAGCAUGGCAAUUUUUAUAGACAGACAAGGGGAGGGGGUCCCGUGAUGGGAUCAGUCAGAUGCCCUCCUGGCUGCUCCCCUUUCGGGGACUUAGGCUCCUCUUGGCAUUGGCAGGCUGGUAUAAACCCCUGGCUUGGAUCGAGCUAUGCCUGAUGCCGCCCUAAGCCUUAUGAGGUCACCACGGAACCACAGGUGAGGGCCUUCUCGAAUUCCCUAGCUUUCACCCUGGAGCUACAAACUGGAAAUUCAAGCGCAAGCCCUUGAACUCCACAUUCACUCACUCACUCACUCACUCAGAGUUUAUUACAAUUUUUAUACCCAUUCUAAAACAGAGAUCUCCCGGAGACCUGAAUGAGAGAGGGAGAAGAGAUAGAGAGAGAGAGAGACUAGACUUAACAGAGAAUCCUGACAGAAACCAGGACUCUGUCCUCCAGUGUCCUGGAGCAUGGACAGAGUCUGAGGGAGGACCUUCGUCAGGGCCGUUUCCCUCCCAGAGAGACAGAGUCAGAUCUGACUUACCU